GGAGUUGUACUCAAGUUGGUGACGAGGCGCCCCUGCUAAGGGCGUAGGCCGCUUAAUAACCGGUGCGAGGGUUCGAGUCCCUCCAACUCCGCCA
rnacentral:tRNA from 1 species